rnacentral:tRNA from 1 species
GCCCCCAUAGCCUAAUGGAUAGGGCAGCAGAUUCCGGUUCUGUGUGUGUGGGUUCGAUUCCUACUGGGGGUACCA